AGUGAACGCUGGCGGCAGGCCUAAUACAUGCAAGUCGAACGGCAGCACAGCAGAGCUUGCUCUGUGGGUGGCGAGUGGCGGACGGGUGAGGAAUACAUGGGAAUCUGCCCAGUCGUGGGGGAUAACGUAUGGAAACGUACGCUAAUACCGCAUGCGCCCUACGGGGGAAAGUCGGGGACCGCAAGGCCUGACGCGAUUGGAUGAGCCCAUGUUCGAUUAGCUAGUUGGCGGGGUAAAGGCCCACCAAGGCGACGAUCGAUAGCUGGUCUGAGAGGAUGAUCAGCCACACUGGAACUGAGACACGGUCCAGACUCCUACGGGAGGCAGCAGUAGGGAAUAUUGGACAAUGGGGGCAACCCUGAUCCAGCCAUGCCGCGUGAGUGAAGAAGGCCCUCGGGUUGUAAAGCUCUUUUGUCCGGAAAGAAAGCACUGGGUUAAUACCCCGGUGUCCUGACGGUACCGGAAG
rnacentral:rRNA from 1 species